ACUCUGACCACUGUGCCUGGUGUCAUCAGAUACAAAGGUGCCAAGAUCCAGCUCCUGGAUCUCCCAGGUAUCAUUGAAGGUGCCAAGGAUGGGAAGGGUAGAGGUCGUCAAGUCAUUGCAGUGGCCCAAACCUGUAACUUGAUCUUGAUUGUUCUGAAUGUCCUGAAACCUUUGGGACAUAAGAAGAUAAUUGAAAAUGAGCUGAAAGGCUUUGGCAUUCGCUUGAACAGCAAACCCCCCAACAUUGGCUUUAAGAAGAAAGACAAGGGAGGCAUUAAUCUCACAGCCACUUGCCCCCAGAGUGAGCUAGAUGCUGAAACUGUGAAGAGCAUUCUGGCCGAAUACAAGAUUCAUAAUGCUGAUGUGACUCUACGUAGUGAUGCUACAGCUGAUGACCUCAUUGAUGUGGUGGAAGGAAACAGAGUUUAUAUCCCCUGUAUCUAUGUGUUAAAUAAGAUUGACCAAAUCUCCAUUGAGGAAUUGGAUAUCAUCUGUAAGGUGCCUCACUGUGUACCCAUCUCUGCCCAUCACCGCUGGAAUUUUGAUGACUUAUUGGAAAAGAUCUGGGACUAUCUGAAACUAGUGAGAAUUUACACCAAACCCAAAGGCCAAUUACCAGAUUACACAUCCCCAGUGGUACUUCCUUACUCCAGGACCACAGUGGAGGAUUUCUGCAUGAAGAUUCACAAAAAUCUUAUCAAAGAAUUUAAAUAUGCUCUGGUCUGGGGUCUGUCUGUGAAACACAAUCCUCAGAAAGUGGGUAAAGACCAUACGUUGGAGGACGAGGAUGUCAUUCAAAUUGUGAAGAAGUGAAACUUUUCCCCUUUCCUAUCUGCCGGGCGAACCACAACAGCCUUCCCCAUGAUCAAGCACCCUACCCCAGUUCUUUCUGGUUUUGGCAGUCACUGGAUCAGGAUCCAGGGGAGGGAGAUGGAGGCACCCAAACUGGAACUUCAUUUGUCUUACCUUGGUGUCACCUUGUAUGUCGAACUGCAUAAAAGAUCUGGUAGGCUGGUCAGCUACAUACAAAAAAAAAAAUAGAAAAA